CACGUAGGGGGCAAGCGUUGUCCGGAUUUAUUGGGCGUAAAGAGCUCGUAGGUGGUUCGGUAAGUCAGGUGUGAAACCUCCAGGCCACUGACUGAGACGCCACUUGAUACGCUGUGACUGGAGUCCGGUAGGGGAGCGUGGAAUUCCUGGUGUAGCGGUGAAAUGCGCAGAUAUCAGGAGGAACACCAGCGGCGAAGGCGGCGCUCUGGGCCGGUACUGACACUGAGGAGCGAAAGCGUGGGUAGCAAACAGG
rnacentral:rRNA from 1 species